ensembl:rRNA 5S_rRNA 5S ribosomal RNA
GUCUCCAGCCAUACCACCCUGAACGUGCCCAAAGCUUGUCAGCUAUGCAGGGUCAGGCCUGGUUAGUACUUGGAUGGGAGACAGGAACACAAUUACUUGAAAGA